AGCUUGUUGGUGAGGUAAUGGCUCACCAAGGCGACGACGGGUAGCCGGCCUGAGAGGGCGACCGGCCACACUGGGACUGAGACACGGCCCAGACUCCUACGGGAGGCAGCAGUGGGGAAUAUUGCACAAUGGGCGAAAGCCUGAUGCAGCGACGCCGCGUGAGGGAUGACGGCCUUCGGGUUGUAAACCUCUUUCAGCAGGGAAGAAGCGAAAGUGACGGUACCUGCAGAAGAAGCGCCGGCUAACUACGUGCCAGCAGCCGCGGUAAUACGUAGGGCGCAAGCGUUGUCCGGAAUUAUUGGGCGUAAAGAGCUCGUAGGCGGCUUGUCACGUCGAUUGUGAAAGCCCGAGGCUUAACCUCGGGUCUGCAGUCGAUACGGGCUAGCUAGAGUGUGGUAGGGGAGAUCGGAAUUCCUGGUGUAGCGGUGAAAUGCGCAGAUAUCAGGAGGAACACCGGUGGCGAAGGCGGAUCUCUGGGCCAUUACUGACGCUGAGGAGCGAAAGCGUGGGGAGCGAACAGGAUUAGAUACCCUGGUAGUCCACGCCGUAAACGGUGGGAACUAGGUGUUGGCGACAUUCCACGUCGUCGGUGCCGCAGCUAACGCAUUAAGUUCCCCGCCU
rnacentral:rRNA from 1 species